GGCCGGCUAGCUCAGCUGGUUAGAGCGUCGUGCUAAUAUGAAGAUUCAAGUUGGAUGUUGCUUAUGUUAACGCGAAGGUGUUAGGCUCGAUCCUCACGUUGGCCA